rnacentral:rRNA from 1 species
UACGUAGGGGGCUAGCGUUGUCCGGAAUCAUUGGGCGUAAGGAGCGUGUAGGCGGUCCGGUAAGUCCGCUGUGAAAGUCGGGGGCUCAACCCUCGAAUGCCGGUGGAUACUGUCGGGCUAGAGUACGGAAGAGGCGAGUGGAAUUCCUGGUGUAGCGGUGAAAUGCGCAGAUAUCAGGAGGAACACCUAUUGCGAAGGCAGCUCGCUGGGACGUAACUGACGCUGAGACGCGAAAGCGUGGGGAGCAAACAGG